rnacentral:rRNA from 1 species
AGAUUGAACGCUGGCGGUAUGCUUAACACAUGCAAGUCGAACGGCAGCACAGGGUAGCUUGCUAUCCGGGUGGCGAGUGGCGGACGGGUGAGUAAUGCGUAGGAAUCUACCUUUUUGUGGGGGGAUAACCCGGGGAAACUCGGGCUAAUACCGCAUACGCCCUACGGGGGAAAGCGGGGGACCUUUGGGCCUCGCGCAAAAAGAUGAGCCUGCGUCCUAUCAGGUAGUUGGUGAGGUAAUGGCUCACCAAGCCGACGACGGGUAGCUGGUCUGAGAGGACGACCAGCCACACUGGGACUGAGACACGGCCCAGACUCCUACGGGAGGCAGCAGUGGGAAUAUGGACAAUGGGGGCAACCUGAUCCAGCAAUACCGCGUGUGUGAAGAAGGCCUUGGUUGUAAAGCACUUUAGCAGGAAAGAAUGAACUGUGCGUUAAUACCGCGUCGGUUUGUACGUUACUU